CGUAGGGCUCUAAGAUUGGGGUUGGGGCCCAGAGCCUGGUUGUACUUGAAGGCACACAUCCAGGAGGACCAUCCUGCUGUCUAGGCCCCUCUCUCCAGUCCUUCCUCCCUAUAGAAAGCCAAGAGCACUCAUAGUCUCUGGCCUGUAGUCACUUCCAGGGGAGAAGGACCCUUCUCCACUCCCAGCCCCCUCCUGUCAACAAAUGAGGUUAUUGGUCAGGGUUUGGGAAUACCAGGAUGGGGUACAGCAGGCCUCACUUCCCUGCAACGUCAGACCAUCCCCCUUUUCUGGGAGCCUGGACCUCCUCUGUCCUCUCCACCCUUUGGCUUUCUUUUAUAGACUUAGCUCUCUCCCCUCCCUGGGCCUGGGAAGGAUCACAGGUUUGUGGCCCUUUAGACUAAUGUUGUAGACAUCCUGAGAAGCUCUACCAUGAUGCCCAGAAAGGCCCACCAUAAUCCCCAGGCCAAUUCUUUUUUUCUUUUUCUUUUUUUCCCGACCCGGAUAGGACAUUCUUCUCGAAGACUCCAAAGACCUCACUGGACCUUGCUCCAUACUCAGUUUUGCUGUGGCAGAGGGAAGGGCAGCUACCCCUCCUGUGCCCGCGAUGUCAUGCUGAUGUGUGGAACGGGCACCGGCUCUGGCAUCGGUCCCCGGCACUGACUACCUGCGUGCACCUCUGUGAACCUCAGGUUUCGUGUCUGCAGUGCGGUGACAGUCGUAUCUCCAUGGCAGGGUGUUGUCAGGAUGAGAGAUAAUUAGGUAAGGGAUCCAGCGUGUAGUAGGCCUUCAGAAGACACCAUGCCCUUCUGGGGGUCAGGUCCAAUAUAUGCAGCCUCUUUUGUUUACAAAGUACUGAUUAAUGCGGGCUCUAUGCCUUUCCUUAUCUGAUCCCUCGUGACAACUCACCGAGGGAGCUGGGUAGGUGUCCUUAUCCUCACUGAUGACGGGAACCAUGGUGCGGAGCCCCCCACGUGACUUGCCUAAAGCCACACACACGUCACUGGGCCAGCCAGCUGAGAGAGCCCCAUAACACCUCCUAAGGAGCUUGGAGAGCAACCCCUGGGCCUCCUUCCUCCAUUCUUCCCCCGAGGGUCCCACACGCAGCCCCUCACCCCUGGGGUCUGGGGGGACUUUGGGAUGAUGGCUCAGCUUCCGAUCCUCCUGCAGCCCGGGCCAUGCCCGCACUCAUGUACCUCCUCCCUGGCUCAACUAAGAGGUUUUAUAGCCGUUUACGAGCAAUUUCUGUCCAUAUAUCACCGGAGAUAUAUAGCCAGGCAAAUAUUAGGGACCCAGGCGGAGGUUUUAAGAGGCAGGUCUUACUGCUGCUGAAAGGAGGCGUGAUCGACAGCCCGCAGACACCCACCUCCCUCUUGCUCGUGGCCGGGCGGUGGCAGCAUGGACUGGGCUUCAGCCUGGAGAACUGUCUGCGGAGCUGGAGUGUCAUGCGGGUGCCCCGGGGGUGUCUGGUGGCCAUCCAAGGCUGGGCUCUGUUCUUCAGAGAGCCCUGCGAGGAGGGGGCGUGGGGGGGGGCGGUGGUGUGAAGGAGGCUAAAGAUCACAACACAGACUGGCUCGACAGGACCCCCUCUCCACACCCAAGCAGGGAGACACUGAGUUCCAGCGGGUUCGAUGCGCAGAAACAGGCGGAAGUGAGAUACCAGGGAAGUACUGCCUCCCGAAGGGCCAUGGGAAGAGACAGCCACACUGCUUUUUUGAUGGAGGUCUUUAAAAAUGGUCUGAAUGAGGAAACCCCUGGCCGGCGGGCAGAGGGCUGGACGCGUCCUCUCACACUCUUGGGCCCCAGCCCUGGGGACACUGGAAGAAGGUCUGUAGAGGAGGUCAGCCUUGACCUCCUCCACUGCUCUGGCCCCAGCCUGGCCCCUGUGCCCCCUGCCCUGUGUGGACUGCUCACCCUGCCUUGGGUGAGCGCAGAGGGGCGAGGAGAGCCUUCUUGGCUUGCGGCAUAUGGUGAGAAGAUGUCCCGGGGAAUCCUCGCUCCUGAUUUAAGCGGCUCCGACAGCUUUAUGGCGCCUCCUCGAGUGAGCCCCCAACGUUGGCCGUUUAACUUUUUUAGCGUCGUUUAACGCUUAGGCUCCGGCGGACAGGCAGGCCCCUCGGCCCCAGAGGCAGCAGUACUAAAUCAGGACACUCUGAGGCCCCGAUAAAUAAUUUUUACAGGGCACGCAGCCCAUAGAUCACCAGUGGGGGUGGGGGGAGAGUGGCUGUGAUAUUUCAAACAAUUGUCAUAUAUGACUACCCCGUGCUCUGAUCCAGGUCGUCCACAUGGCAGCCGGCUUCAUAACCACAGUCAGCUCCAGGGCCCUCUGCAUGGGGCAUGGGAGGAACAGUGGAGACACAGUUCUCUGGUGGCCCCACAGCCAACAGAUGACCCAUUGCCUGCCCUUGUCUACUGACGUGGUGCCCCAAUCCAAGCUUCCUCUGGCACUGGGAUAAUGGGGUUGCUGAGAGCAGGGUGGGCGAGAGGAAGAGAAAGAACUUUGUGUAGUCAAAAGGUCACUUUCGGACCACCUUCCUGGUCCCCAGACAACUCCAAGCCUGAGUGCUCCAAGGGACCUGGUGCCGGGACUGCGGCCAGAGGGAGGACAGACCAGAGGGCUGGAGUGCACAGGACCUGUGGUCAGCUCCCUGCCAUUCGCACCUCUAGGGAAAGGGGCAGGGCGGCAGGGGGUCAGAGGAGAGGGGAGUGUGGAAGGACAAAGACUGGAACAGCGCAGGGAGAAGGGAGGGAGGAGGACAGAAGAGCAAAGAUGGAAAGGAGAGAGAGAGAGAGAGAGAGAGAAGGGGAGAUGGACAGGGACUCACCCACAGGGGACACUGCAACAGACGGGGUCUUUUCCUAAAGCCCGGUGCCAAGCUGGAGAGACAUGGUAUGGACAGACCCGGGGCUGCAGCAUCUGUGCCCUCUGAGGGCGCCCUCCAAUUGGCUCCAGGCCCACGUUACUCUGCACCAGCUCCGCACUGCCCCCACCCUUGCCCCUCCCUUCAGUGCCCUUGCCCCGUCCCCUCAUCUGUAAGAUCCUGGGAUUUGCGGGGACACUUAAUCCAUAUGGAGCUGAUUCAUUCCCAUCUAAAUCAUCUCCAUCAGCUUCCCUAAGAGCCCUCUGAUGUGCCAGCCGCCAUUCCUCUCCCCCAGCGGUGGCGGGCUGGGGGCUGCCAGUAAACAAACCUCAGCGGCCAUCCAUCAGUCCAGCGGAGACCAUUCGUCUCUCCAGCCCUGCUCCCCCUCCCCGCUCCUCCAGUCCCUCCAUCCGUUUGUCUGUCCCUCUUCUCAACAUCCCUCUCCUAGAACCUCCACGUCUCUGCCUCGUCCAGGGUAGGAUCUUGAGGGGUCAUGUCAGCUGCCCCCCCGUCUUCACGAAGACAGGAAACUUACCCCACCCCUGGCUCAGCAACAUGGAGGUUCACCGCCUUCCGAGAAGAGAGGCCUCCAAGUCUGAUGAUACUGCUACAUGGCAUGGACAACCCAUACGCAGGGACGUUCUUUCCUCUGUCUAGCUUGUCCGUCUGAGAUCCACGUAGGAUCAUGUGUCUGAGCAGGAGCGAAGGGAAGGCUUAGUUCACUGUUUAGGAUGAAAAAUAACAACCAGAUGAACGAAGUCAGGAUCAUCAGGAAUGAUAAAUAAUACACUCCAGAUGUGGCUCCAGACAACAGCCUUGGAAAGAGCGCACCGACUCUAUAGUCACCUUGCGCGGGAGAGCCCCUUAGCGCAACAAGGGGCAAUGACACAAGUGUUGGUAACUCCUCUUUGGAGUUUGUCUUCAGGGUGGGAGACUCCGUUUUUUGGAUGUCCUUAUUGGCGACAAACCUUAACUUGUGCUUUUUGGGGAUCCGUCAAAAAUUAAUUUAUAGUUAAUAAUGGUCAUCUUGAAUAUUUUGUAGAAUGGCUAUAAAGUCCAUCUCCAAAAAAAUUUUUUAAUGUUUAUUUUUGAGAGAGAGAGACAGAGACAGAGCGCAAGUGGGAGACAGGCAGAGAGAGAGGGAGACACAGAAUCGGAAGCCAGCUCCAGGCUCCAAGCUGUCAGCACAGAGCUCAACACAGGGCGCAAACUCAUGAACUGGGGCUCGAACUCAU